AAAAAUUAAAUUUAAGAUACUAAAAUAGUAAAUAAUUGUUUAUUGAAACUUAAAUAAUUUGGCGGUAUUUUAGUUCAUUUAGAGGAAUCUGUUUAAUAAUUGAUAUUCCACGAAUAAAUUUACUUAAUUUAUAAUUUUGUAUAUCAUUGUUAAAAAAAUAUUUUUUAAUAAAUUUAAUAUUUAAAAAUUAUAAUAAAAAUUUAAAUCAGAUCAAGAUGCAGAUUAUAGUUAAGAAUAUAAUGGAUUACAAUAAAUUUAUUUAAAUGAAUAUUGAUUUGUAAAAAUUAAUUGAAAGUGGAUUUAAAUGUAAUUUUAUUUAAUUUAUUAAAAUGAUUAAAAAUUAAAAUAUGU
rnacentral:rRNA from 1 species